UUAUUCUGUAGCUCGGCCAGGGUCUGGUUCUAAAGAGCAUCAGAGUUAGAGAAGACAUCACUGUUAAGGGACCUGGUGCCUUGUUUGUUCAUCACUUUAAGGCAUCAGGUAUCAUCGGCAGUGAGAAAUGCAUAGCUUAGUAGAGGGAGGGCCUGCUUAGCAUACAGGAAGCCCUGGACUUCGUGAGAUUAGCUUUAUUUUUUUUUUUACUAGGACACCUUUUUCUUCGGUUUCCCUCUCACGUUCACACUGGAGUGGGCUGGAACAGAGCAGGAUAAAGGGCAGGCUCUCUAGGCUGUCCUUACCUGUUUGAUUAAGAUGUCAUCGCAGUUAGUUAAUGCUUGACGAAGUUUUCCUGCUCCUGUGCUGUGGCAACAGGCUCUCUCUGCUGACUGCAGAGACUGUCCUAGCUCCUGGAGCUCUGUCCGUAGCAGCCUUAUAUUCUGAAAGAGUAGGAAUCAGAUUGUGGCCAAAAUCAGCCACAGCAGCCAUUUGAAGGCAGACUUACAGAGGCUGGGGGCUGGUGAGGGCACCCAAGCUUGACAAUCUGAGUUAAAUCUAGGAACCCACAUGGUGGAAAGAGAGAAUCAUUCUUCUGUCUUCCACACCACUACAUACAAAUAAAUAAAUGUGAAGCAAAAUUGGGCUGGUUUUCAUUCCUCAGGAUUCUUGCACCAAAAAUAAAAAAACAAAAAACAAAAAACAAAAAAACAAAACAAAAAAGAAAAACACCUUCUUCUCACUUAAAUCCCUGAUAAAGGUUUUGAAACAGAAUAAGGUUAAAUACCUUCUGGCCCUCCUCUAACUUCUUAUCCACAUCGAUGGUGAAAGGUUUGGCUGUGGGUGGUGGUUUUAACAUCUGCUGGUACUUCUGCAGCUCUGAGGGGAGACACAGGAUGUACAGAUAACAUGUAAUGCAUGGGUUGUUCAGCUUGGGGCUUUAACAGUAGCAGCGUAAGAUGUGAGUUGGAGUUAGGACUGAGUGAAUGCCAGCUUCUCCCUCACCACCCACCCCCACUGUCAGGCCCCGCCCCCCUCACCUGCGGUGGUAGAGCCUAACUCUGUUUUGCAUUGCUCUAGUUCAGCUUUAACUUCCUGGAGCUGCUGAGAGGAGGCAGAGGCUGCCAACCUUUGUGACCGCCGGAGGGACAGUUCACACCCCCCUGACUGUUGUGCCACUGGCUGCUGUUUGGCUUCCUGCAAGAGAGUUUCUAGCUCUUCAAUUUUUUCAUCCCGCUCCUAAGAGGGAAGCAGAGAGCACAGUUCUGUCUAGGGUCAGACAAAUACCAAAGGACCAGACUAAAAGAACAUAAGCACCUACGCGCGACAUUAGCCCAUUAGCACACUUUCACGGUGGACUCAUCCCUAAACUCAAACUCAGUAGCUGCAAGGCACUAAGGGAAACUAAUAAAAACGAAUUCUAUAUU
rnacentral:lncRNA from 1 species